AUGGCCGGCAUGGUCCCAGCCUCCUCGCUGGCGCCGGCUGGGCAACAUUCCGAGGGGACCGCCCCCUCGGUAAUGGCGAAUGGGACCCA
rnacentral:ribozyme from 13 species